CUUUUUUUAAAAAAUCUCUUAUUUUAUAUAACUAAAACUAUUUGUUUUUUUUUAAUAAGAUUGUUAUAAAUCCAGUAAAUUAAGAGUUAGGUUAAAAAAAAAUUUGUUGUUGAGAUUUUUUUUGGACUAUGGUAAGUAUUCUAGGAAAGGAGAAUCUGAAUAUAAAUGAUGCUGACUGUAGCAGUUUAUUGUUUCAAAGAAAUUCAGUUUGGAUUCCUUUUGCAUUAUUUAAUGUAUAAAAUGAAUAAAUGAUAUAAAAAAUAAAACUAACCAAUGAAAUAGAAUUUUUUUUUUUAUUAAAUCAAUGAUUGUCUGGAAGAAAAGUGUUUUACUAAAAGUGGAUGUUGUAGCUAUUGUUAGGAUCAGCUGUUCAGAUGGAGUAGUUUGUCCUGGUUUGUGGUAUGUGCCUCUAGGCAAAUGUAGAUGUCUCUGUACUGUGGUUAUAGUACAACUACAUUCUACAGUUACAGUGUCCAAGAACUGUCUCAAUAAAAAAAAUAUUGUAGAAAAAUGUACUUUUUCAUCACAGUUCAAGAAAGCUGUAUAACAAUUUUGUAAAUUUGAUAAGUUACCAUUAACCUUCAGAAAUCCAGAUUAUUGUAAAAUAUUUAAUUCAGUAUUUAUGAGAAAUGAAUUAAGAAUUGUUCAACAUAAAACAAAAGUUGCAUCUUAGUGAGAAUUUUUCUGAAUUUUAAAUAUUGUUCGUUAAACAUAUUUUUAAUUGUAUGGUGAAUUUAGAAUUGUUUUUACUCAUAGUAAGAAAUGUACAAAUGUCAUUGGCCUGUAUAAAUGUUUCUAUAUCUAUAAGUAAACAUCCAUAUCAUGCCAAUACUUUAUAAAUUUCAGUUUAGUAUUAUUUACAUGUAACAUAGUGUAAUCUUUUAAACUUUAAUAAAGUUAUUAUUUUUAAAUAUAUAUUUGCUGUUUGUAUGUCUUUUGUCUAUAAAUUUAUCUCAUUAUGGAAUAGUGGAAAUUAAAAUUAAUACUAAAUGUUAUUUUGUUUAUAAUAAUACC
rnacentral:lncRNA from 1 species